CCGCCGCCCUCGGGCUGGCCGGGAGUCCCGGCUGCGGAGCGAGCGUCGCAGCCUCGCGGCUGGGCCGGAAGGGUCGCGGCGAGGCCGGGCUCAGUUGCCUCGGUAGACCUCGAUCUUGCUGGCCUUGGCCAGCAUGUCGAUGAUGUGGGCCUCGAAGUCGGCGUCGUGCACUCCCGUCUUCCGGAACUCGCCCGCAUACCGGUUAUUCUCCCAGUAGUGGUGCCAGUUGCCCCGGCUGUCGGCCCCGAACCCGUACACGUUCACCUGCAGGGGAGGGCGGCGCAGUACUUUGACAGGAAAGCUGGUCAAGUACCCAGGACCACACUGAAGUGGGUGUGCUGGGCGUGAGCACUGCCGAGCGUGCACAGCAGCCCCGCUGGCUAGUGACAUGCGGCUCCUGAACCACUGGCCUCCAGCGUUACACCCACAGCCGGCCCAGGGCCCACAGCUGUGGGAGAGGGCCAUGCCCUGGAACUGAACUACAUUGCUUCCUUUCUAUUUAUACUUUUGAUUAUUUUUUUUUUCUUUAUGGCAUGUAAUAACCCAUUAUGGUGGUAGUCGUCUAUUUCCUUUUUAAGUAAAUUUAACUUUUCACUGAAGUGAUUUAAGAUUUGGUAAAAUCACCAACGUCGUGAGUUUGGGAAAUGAAGAUGUAUACUUGACAACCUAGAAAUGGGGGAAAUCAGAGCCACUUGAUUUCUGCCUACAAAGCCACAUUCCUCUUGCUCUGCUAAGCCCUAAGAAGGACUGACUCCCUCUGAUCUGUGGGUGUCCCUAUUGUACCCCUAACACUGGGCGACCCACCUCAUCACAAACAUGCAGGGCAAAGAAGAGCACCAGCAUCCCUGUGGAAGGGUACCGCCCGUGAUGCUCUGUCCACCGGUCGUGGAUGUACUUGAAGAAUGCCGGGUUGUAGAUCUGAACCUGGCAGGAGAAAAGAAGACAGUAGAAGUGCAUAAGAAGCUGAAGUGUUCCUGGGCCAGAUGACAGCCUCUAUGCCGCCAGCACCAGCCCCUCCACCCCUGUAUUUCAGCUUCUAGCUGCCUUUCUGUCCAAGGCCAAGAGGGAUGCUCCGAAUUCUGGCAGUACCCACUUUGGCUGUCCCCUGGUGAUGUGCAGUGUGGAUCUGUUUCUCCCACACUGCCAUGGAGGAACUCAGAAACCCAGAGCAGGCUUGCCACCCUCCUGGGUAUAAUAAGCCAAGAAGGCUUUUACUGCCUUUCAACCAGUGCAAAACACAGGAUCAAUAAAAUCAAGCUCCCUCUUUUGGCGAGCAUCUUCAAAACAGGUGAUUCAGCUUUGAACAUAAACAUGUUGGUCUUUUCUGCUGUGACUGUUUAUGAGAACAUUCCUGUCUUGUGUGAACCACUUUGCAGAAUCAUGACUACCCAGGGAGGUGACCAUAACCUUGCCUUCCAGUGGGGAAAAAGGGACCCGGGAGAGAGGAAACAAAGUCUCCAUGUGCUUUCCCUGCUUUUUAUGCCUAUUAUGUAAAACCAGUAUGAACAUUACCUGUCCUUAAAAUGGCUGGCAUCACUUAGCUGGGCUGAAUGAAGACCAGUCACUGGGGCUCCCACAAUGCCUUCCUCCUGCUCCUCUCCCAUUGGUAGCAUGACAUAGUAAAAGCAUGUCCAGGGUACUCCACCACUGCUGGUCAUAUUGCUGUACCUCCUACCUCUCUGGUUCCCUUCCCUUCAGGAACUGGAGAGUGGUGGGGCUGGGAAGCCAUAACUGAGAGGUGGCCUGAUUUGGAACCAUAUAGUGAGUCUUUG